UACGGAGGGUGCAAGCGUUAAUCGGAAUCACUGGGCGUAAAGCGCACGUAGGCGGUCUGGUAAGUCAGAGGUGAAAGCCCACAGCCCAACUGUGGAACUGCCUUUGAUACUGCCAGACUUGAGUACCGGAGAGGGUGGCGGAAUUCCAGGUGUAGGAGUGAAAUCCGUAGAUAUCUGGAGGAACACCGGUGGCGAAGGCGGCCACCUGGACGGUAACUGACGCUGAGGUGCGAAAGCGUGGGUAGCAA
rnacentral:rRNA from 1 species